rnacentral:rRNA from 1 species
AUUGAACGCUGGCGGCAGGCCUAACACAUGCAAGUCGAACGGUAGCACAGAGAGCUUGCUCUCGGGUGACGAGUGGCGGACGGGUGAGUAAUGUCUGGGAAACUGCCCGAUGGAGGGGGAUAACUACUGGAAACGGUAGCUAAUACCGCAUAACGUCGCAAGACCAAAGUGGGGGACCUUCGGGCCUCACACCAUCGGAUGUGCCCAGAUGGGAUUAGCUAGUAGGUGGGGUAAUGGCUCACCUAGGCGACGAUCCUUAGCUCGUCUGAGAGGAUGACCAGCCACACUGGAACUGAGACACGGUCCAGACUCCUACGGGAGGCAGCAGUGGGGAAUAUUGCACAAUGGGCGCAAGCCUGAUGCAGCCAUGCCGCGUGUAUGAAGAAGGCCUUCGGGUUGUAAAGUACUUUCAGCGGGGAGGAAGGCGGUGAAGUUAAUAACUUCACCGAUUGACGUUACCCGCAGAAGAAGCACCGGCUAACUCCGUGCCAGCCGCCGCGGUAA